GAAAGCACAUGAUAUGGUAUUUCGUGGCACGGUCUCACACCUUACCUCAUCUUGCAGAAGAAGCUCAUGGUCCACUAUCUGCUGCUCCAGAGUCAAGGCCAGGUCCCUCCCCAUGUCACCAUGGAGCACAUGAGCAACUGGCUGGUGUCUCAGGGCAAAAAAUCCCUUAGGGAGAGGUGAGCACCACGUCAGCACUCACCUUCACUGCCAUUCCCUGCCACCAGCAGCACUAAAGGAGGUGUGGGUAAAAUAAACAUCAGAAAAAUCAGAAGCCAGGAAAGUUGAAUUGCUCUGUGUUUUAUUUGAAGGGUGUGGAAGGAAACCCUGGAGGAGGGAAACGACCUCGCUCGGCUGGUAAGAGAAUGAGAGUUAGAGACAUACUACAAGUUAGUGAGCUCUUUACUAGCCUUUCAACAACGAGUUAGCACAGCAGAAUAGAUCUGUUGUGAAAUUACACUAAUGGGACUUCCUGUUGCGUACUGCAGGCCUGGGAAGUAAACACUUGCCUAAAAAUGAUGAACAUAGAGCACGAGGCUUUCUGCAAGCUCCGCCGCUCCAUGCACCCCACCUCGCCAGCUGACAUCGAUCCUAAGGUCCACAGCAUCGUGGAGAGAGCUGUGAGGAGCAUUCUGGGCGAGCAGUCCAAAGAGCCCAGUAGCAACUUGCUCAGCCCAUCUCAGGUGGUGGUUGAGGUGGUGCCCAGGCUCCUCCUGGCCCUGUGGCUUCAGCCAGAGGAAGGCCAUUCAGAGCACCCAAUCCUAAUAGGUGGGAUGGCCGUGGGCAUGGUGGCGGCCGUAGUGGAGAAGCUCUCCUGCAUGUUAAAGGACCCUUCCCCUCACAUCCCUUUCUCCCGGGCUGCUGCUUUUGACUCUGUGUGGUCGAUCCUCGGGAGAAUCAGUCAGUCCUUCUCCACCGAUGACCUGCAGAGCCCUUUUUAUACGAGCUCUGUUUGUGCCUUUGUGGCGGACGAGGUGCAGAGCUGCUUCCAGCCCCCUGCAGCCACCCUACCAGUCCCCCCUGUCCUCGCGGUGGCCGCUUCCACCACACUACCAGCUGACAUCCAAGCAGGUGAGUAGCACUGAUAGAGAGCACUCUGACAGAUGCCUGUUCUGAUGACAUCUUGGUUCCUUGUAGUAGUAGAG
rnacentral:lncRNA from 1 species